rnacentral:lncRNA from 1 species
GUUGACCUUAUUAAUACUUGUCUGCAUAUUUCAGAUGUUCAUGGAAGCCGUAAUUGCAUCAUUAAAGGAUUUGGAGAUACGAUAUCCGGAUGCAGAAGAACAGACCACCAUCAGUCCGAUUUCCACCGAAACUUCACAAAAACCUAACCUAAGUGCAUCUGACACAAUAGAGCAACAUGAACCUCCAAAGGCAGAUCCCACUUUCUUCUCUCCAGCAAUUAAUGGCCAAAAUUCUUCAAUGGAACACCCAUCACCUGAUCCUAGUGCGUCAUCCACUUCACCCCCAUUUGACACUCCCCAAUCCAUGACAGAAUCGGGAAGCUCAACCACAUCAACUCUUAGUGAUGCUUCAGGAAGUGUACAGACCUCAACAGAUACUGACUUGUCAAGUAACACGAAAGCGACGUUGACAGUAGAAAGGAACCCGGCCAAUCAUAUUAUGGAUGGCUUGAUGCGUCGUUGGGAUUUCAACUUGUUUCGUAACAAUCGAUGAACAUUAAUAUGAUUUUUUCUUUUUUUUUUCCUUUUUUUUUUUUGUUUCAACAAUCUUGUCAUGAUUUGUUUUGUAAUUAAGAUAGCAGCAAGCAAUUGAUUUAGUACUGUAAAAUACACGAAACGAAAGGAAGAUAGGUUCAGAAGAUGUGCUUAAAGUUGAUGGAAUUGGUUUAUAUGAUACAGUAUUUUUACUGCUCAAUUCGUUUGUGAACAAUUUUAUGGUUCUACUCGAAAUUAAGAGAACUGUGAACAUAACUAGCAGAAGCAUUUUCAGUGAUUAUGUCAAGCUCUUCCGUGAAAUUUCUUUCUACAAAUUAGUGACGUGUCGUUUUAUGACCGGCCAUCUAAUGCCAUGUCAGCACUCCGGAGUUCGGAUACCGUAACGGACUUCGCGGAUAUCCGUAUCGACGAAUUCAGUUUCGAGUUUCUGAUGGAGAAAACAAAGAAGCAAAAAAAUGAUCUACGAACACCGCUUCUUCUUCUGGUUAUCAGGCAUGGAAAUGCCUCUGCAGCCUCCUCCCCUCUACAGUGGCGAUCCACGGCCCGCUUCACUCAAAUGCAAGUCCCAACACAUCAAUCUGUGCAUAAUAAAACCAAUGAAUAUAGAGUAACCAUCUCGAUUUUACGGCCUUCGUAAAAUUCUUUAUUAGAAUUGCUAAUUUCUCUCUCUCAAAACCUUUCAAAAUUUUAUACCGUCGGAUGAACCGAUAAUCUUCCCCUAAAGCUCAUCUCUAACCAUUUUAGAUAUUACCCAGUUGGCCAUUUGUGUUGUGCGAUUGAUAAAAGCACCAAAUUUGACCUCUAGACACAGAUGCAAACCAUUAUUAAUACUUGUCUGCAUAUUUCAGAUGUUCAUGGAAGCCGUAAUUGCAUCAUUAAAGGAUUUGGAGAUACGAUAUCCGGAUGCAGAAGAACAGACCACCAUCAGUCCGAUUUCCACCGAAACUUCACAAAAACCUAACCUAAGUGCAUCUGACACAAUAGAGCAACAUGAACCUCCAAAGGCAGAUCCCACUUUCUUCUCUCCAGCAAUUAAUGGCCAAAAUUCUUCAAUGGAACACCCAUCACCUGAUCCUAGUGCGUCAUCCACUUCACCCCCAUUUGACACUCCCCAAUCCAUGACAGAAUCGGGAAGCUCAACCACAUCAACUCUUAGUGAUGCUUCAGGAAGUGUACAGACCUCAACAGAUACUGACUUGUCAAGUAACACGAAAGCGACGUUGACAGUAGAAAGGAACCCGGCCAAUCAUAUUAUGGAUGGCUUGAUGCGUCGUUGGGAUUUCAACUUGUUUCGUAACAAUCGAUGAACAUUAAUAUGAUUUUUUCUUU